rnacentral:tRNA from 2 species
CAGCCCCGUGGUGGAGAAACAUGCUGGAUUGCAAAUCCAGAGACGUAGAUUAGUAGUCUGCCGGGGCUUU